rnacentral:tRNA from 1 species
GGCGUAAGUCAUCGGUUCAAAUCCGAUAAAGGGCU